rnacentral:rRNA from 1 species
UAAACGGCGGCCGUAACUAUAACGGUCCUAAGGUAGCGAAAUUCCUUGUCGGGUAAGUUCCGACCUGCACGAAUGGCGUAAUGAUGGCCAGGCUGUCUCCACCCGAGACUCAGUGAAAUUGAACUCGCUGUGAAGAUGCAGUGUACCCGCGGCAAGACGGAAAGACCCCGUGAACCUUUACUAUAGCUUGACACUGAACAUUGAGCCUUGAUGUGUAGGAUAGGUGGGAGGCUUUGAAGUGUGGACGCCAGUCUGCAUGGAGCCGACCUUGAAAUACCACCCUUUAAUGUUUGAUGUUCUAACGUGGACCCGUUACCCGGGUUGCGGACAGUGUCUGGUGGGUAGUUUGACUGGGGCGGUCUCCUCCUAAAGAGUAACGGAGGAGCACGAAGGUUGGCUAAUCCUGGUCGGACAUCAGGAGGUUAGUGCAAUGGCAUAAGCCAGCUUGACUGCGAGCGUGACGGCGCGAGCAGGUGCGAAAGCAGGUCAUAGUGAUCCGGUGGUUCUGAAUGGAAGGGCCAUCGCUCAACGGAUAAAAGGUACUCCGGGGAUAACAGGCUGAUACCGCCCAAGAGUUCAUAUCGACGGCGGUGUUUGGCACCUCGAUGUCGGCUCAUCACAUCCUGGGGCUGAAGUAGGUCCCAAGGGUAUGGCUGUUCGCCAUUUAAAGUGGUACGCGAGCUGGGUUUAGAACGUCGUGAGACAGUUCGGUCCCUAUCUGCCGUGGGCGCUGGAGAACUGAGGGGGGCUGCUCCUAGUACGAGAGGACCGGAGUGGACGCAUCACUGGUGUUCGGGUUGUCAUGCCAAUGGCACUGCCCGGUAGCUAAAUGCGGAAGAGAUAAGUGCUGAAAGCAUCUAAGCACGAAACUUGCCCCGAGAUGAGUUCUCCCUGAGACUUUAGGUCUCCUGAAGGAACGUUGAAGACGACGACGUUGAUAGGCCGGGUGUGUAAGCGCAGCGAUGCGUUGAGCUAACCGGUACUAAUGAACCGUGAGGCUUAACCUUACAACGCCG